rnacentral:rRNA from 1 species
UCGAGAAUAAUUCACAAUGGGGGCAACCCUGAUGGUGCAACGCCGCGUGGAGGAUGACGGUCUUCGGAUUGUAAACUCCUGUCAUCUGGGAGUAAGACCUGGCGGUGAACAGCCGACAGGGUUGAUAGUACCAGAAGAGGAAGGGACGGCUAACUUCGUGCCAGCAGCCGCGGUAAUACGAAGGUCCCGAGCGUUGUUCGGAAUCACUGGGCGUAAAGGGAGCGUAGGCGGCGUGGUAAGUCAGAUGUGAAAUCCCGGGGCUCAACCCCGGAACUGCAUCCGAUACUGCCGUGCUUAGAGGAUUGGAGAGGUAGCUGGAAUUCUUGGUGUAGCAGUGAAAUGCGUGGAUAUCAAGAGGAACACUCGUGGCGAAAGCGAGCUACUGGACAACUCCUGACGCUGAGGCUCGAAGGCCAGGGUAGCGAAAGGG